rnacentral:rRNA from 1 species
UACGAAGGGGGCUAGCGUUGCUCGGAAUCACUGGGCGUAAAGCGCACGUAGGCGGAUUGUUAAGUCGGGGGUGAAAUCCUGGAGCCCAACUCCAGAACUGCCUUCGAUACUGGCGAUCUUUGAGUCCGGGAGAGGUGGGUGGAACUGCGAGUGUAGAGGUGAAAUUCGUAGAUAUUCGCAAGAACACCAGUGGCGAAGGCGGCUCACUGGCCCGGUACUGACGCUGAGGUGCGAAAGCGUGGGGAGCAAACAGG